rnacentral:rRNA from 1 species
UAAUACAGAGGGUGCGAGCGUUAAUCGGAUUUACUGGGCGUAAAGCGUGCGUAGGCGGCUUUUUAAGUCGGAUGUGAAAUCCCUGAGCUUAACUUAGGAAUUGCAUUCGAUACUGGGAAGCUAGAGUAUGGGAGAGGAUGGUAGAAUUCCAGGUGUAGCGGUGAAAUGCGUAGAGAUCUGGAGGAAUACCGAUGGCGAAGGCAGCCAUCUGGCCUAAUACUGACGCUGAGGUACGAAAGCAUGGGGAGCAAACAGGAUUAGAUACCCUGGUAGUCCAUGCCGUAAACGAUGUCUACUAGCCGUUGGGGCCUUUGAGGCUUUAGUGGCGCAGCUAACGCGAUAAGUAGACCGCCUGGGGAGUACGGUCGCAAGACUAAAACUCAAAGGAAUUGACGG